CUGACUGUGGAAGCAGGAAAUUCAGGGGGGAAGUACCCCUUUCCUUUGUGGUACCUGUUACACAGAGAAAUCACAAGCAAGAGAUCUCUUGGCCCUAACCUGUGCCAUCUUGGAGGAGGGGUGAUGGAAGUAAAGUCAAAUUGUUCUUCUGACCCACUUCAAUGCAUCCAAAUUGAUUUUUUUUUCCUUCACUAGUGUGCUGGCACUUCUCUGAAAACUUGGAUUUCCACAAAGAAUCUCUCAUCCAUGAGUGAAGGAGAGGUCUAUGGUAUCAAGUCCAAUGUUUGUUAUUGACACUUUGCCAUUUGAUGGAGUCUGAGCACUCAGGAGGAAGAGUGAAGAGGACUGAGUGGGGAAACUGAGGACUCCAGAUGAAAAGAG
ensembl:lncRNA